GGGUUGUGAGGUUAAGCGACUAAGCGUACACGGUGGAUGCCCUGGCAGUCAGAGGCGAUGAAGGACGUGCUAAUCUGCGAUAAGCGUCGGUAAGGUGAUAUGAACCGUUAUACCCGACGAUUUCCGAAUGGGGAAACCCAGUGUGUUCCGACACACUAUCAUUACGUGAAUACAUAGCGUAAUGAAGCGAACCGGGGGAACUGAAACAUCUAAGUACCCCGAGGAAAAGAAAUCAACCGAGAUUCCCCCAGUAGCGGCGAGCGAACGGGGAGCAGCCCAGAGUCUGAAUCAGCAUGUGUGUUAGUGGAACGGUCUGGAAAGUCCGACGGUACAGGGUGAUAGUCCCGUACACAAAAAUGCAUGUGCUGUGAACUGCUAAAUACUCCUGACUGACCGAUAGUGAACCAGUACCGUGAGGGAAAGGCGAAAAGAACCCCGGCGAGGGGAGUGAAAAAGAACCUGAAACCGUGUACGUACAAGCAGUGGGAGCCUCUUUUAUGGGGUGACUGCGUACCUUUUGUAUAAUGGGUCAGCGACUUAUAUUCUGUAGCAAGGUUAACCGUAUAGGGGAGCCGAAGGGAAACCGAGUCUUAACUGGGCGUUAAGUUGCAGGGUAUAGACCCGAAACCCGGUGAUCUAGCCAUGGGCAGGUUGAAGGUUGGGUAACACUAACUGGAGGACCGAACCGACUAAUGUUGAAAAAUUAGCGGAUGACUUGUGGCUGGGGGUGAAAGGCCAAUCAAACCGGGAGAUAGCUGGUUCUCCCCGAAAGCUAUUUAGGUAGCGCCUCGUGAACUCAUCUUCGGGGGUAGAGCACUGUUUCGGCUAGGGGGCCAUCCCGGCUUACCAACCCGAUGCAAACUACGAAUACCGAAGAAUGUUAUCACGGGAGACACACGGCGGGUGCUAACGUCCGUCGUGAAGAGGGAAACAACCCAGACCGCCAGCUAAGGUCCCAAAGUCAUGGUUAAGUGGGAAACGAUGUGGGAAGGCACAGACAGCCAGGAUGUUGGCUUAGAAGCAGCCAUCAUUUAAAGAAAGCGUAAUAGCUCACUGGUCGAGUCGGCCUGCGCGGAAGAUGUAACGGGGCUAAACCAUGCACCGAAGCUGCGGCAGCGACACUAUGUGUUGUUGGGUAGGGGAGCGUUCUGUAAGCCGUUGAAGGUGUGCUGUGAGGCAUGCUGGAGGUAUCAGAAGUGCGAAUGCUGACAUAAGUAACGAUAAAGCGGGUGAAAAGCCCGCUCGCCGAGGCGUAGUCGAUGGGAAACAGGUUAAUAUUCCUGUACUUGGUGUUACUGCGAAGGGGGGACGGAGAAGGCUAUGUUAGCCGGGCGACGGUUGUCCCGGUUUAAGCAUGUAGGCGGAGGUUCCAGGUAAAUCCGGUUCCUUAUUAACGCUGAGGUGUGAUGACGAGGCACUACGGUGCUGAAGUAACAAAUGCCCUGCUUCCAGGAAAAGCCUCUAAGCAUCAGGUAACAUCAAAUCGUACCCCAAACCGACACAGGUGGUCAGGUAGAGAAUACCAAGGCGCUUGAGAGAACUCGGGUGAAGGAACUAGGCAAAAUGGUGCCGUAACUUCGGGAGAAGGCACGCUGAUGGUAGGUGAAGCGACUUGCUCGUGGAGCUGAAAUCAGUCGAAGAUACCAGCUGGCUGCAACUGUUUAUUAAAAACACAGCACUGUGCAAACACGAAAGUGGACGUAUACGGUGUGACGCCUGCCCGGUGCCGGAAGGUUAAUUGAUGGGGUUAGCGGCAACGCGAAGCUCUUGAUCGAAGCCCCGGUAAACGGCGGCCGUAACUAUAACGGUCCUAAGGUAGCGAAAUUCCUUGUCGGGUAAGUUCCGACCUGCACGAAUGGCGUAAUGAUGGCCAGGCUGUCUCCACCCGAGACUCAGUGAAAUUGAACUCGCUGUGAAGAUGCAGUGUACCCGCGGCAAGACGGAAAGACCCCGUGAACCUUUACUAUAGCUUGACACUGAACACUGGUCCUUGAUGUGUAGGAUAGGUGGGAGGCUUUGAAGCGUGGACGCCAGUCUGCGUGGAGCCAACCUUGAAAUACCACCCUUUAAUGGCUGGUGUUCUAACGUAGACCCGUUACCCGGGUUGCGGACAGUGUCUGGUGGGUAGUUUGACUGGGGCGGUCUCCUCCUAAAGAGUAACGGAGGAGCACGAAGGUUAGCUAAUCCUGGUCGGACAUCAGGAGGUUAGUGCAAUGGCAUAAGCUAGCUUGACUGCGAGAGUGACGGCUCGAGCAGGUGCGAAAGCAGGUCAUAGUGAUCCGGUGGUUCUGAAUGGAAGGGCCAUCGCUCAACGGAUAAAAGGUACUCCGGGGAUAACAGGCUGAUACCGCCCAAGAGUUCAUAUCGACGGCGGUGUUUGGCACCUCGAUGUCGGCUCAUCACAUCCUGGGGCUGAAGUAGGUCCCAAGGGUACGGCUGUUCGCCGUUUAAAGUGGUACGCGAGCUGGGUUUAGAACGUCGUGAGACAGUUCGGUCCCUAUCUGCCGUGGGCGCUGGAGAAUUGAGGGGGGCUGCUCCUAGUACGAGAGGACCGGAGUGGACGCAUCACUGGUGUUCGGGUUGUCAUGCCAAUGGCAUUGCCCGGUAGCUAAAUGCGGAAAAGAUAAGUGCUGAAAGCAUCUAAGCACGAAACUUGCCCCGAGAUGAGUUCUCCCUGACCCUUUAAGGGUCCUGAAGGAACGUUGAAGACGACGACGUUGAUAGGUCGGGUGUGUAAGCGCAGCGAUGCGUUGAGCUAACCGAUACUAAUGAACCGUGAGGCUUAACCUUACAACGCCGAAG
rnacentral:rRNA from 1 species